AGUGAACGCUGGCGGUAGGCCUAACACAUGCAAGUCGAACGGCAGCACAGGAGAGCUUGCUCUCUGGGUGGCGAGUGGCGGACGGGUGAGGAAUACAUCGGAAUCUACUCUGUCGUGGGGGAUAACGUAGGGAAACUUACGCUAAUACCGCAUACGACCUACGGGUGAAAGCAGGGGAUCUUCGGACCUUGCGCGAUUGAAUGAGCCGGUGUCGGAUUAGCUAGUUAGCGGGGUAAAGGCCCACCAAGGCGACGAUCCGUAGCUGGUCUGGGAGGAUGAUCAGCCACACUGGAACUGAGACACGGUCCAGACUCGUACGGGAGGCAGCAGUGGGGAAUAUUGGACAGUGGGCGCAAGCCUGAUCCAGCCAUACCGCGUGGGUGAAGAAGGCCUUCGGGUUGUAAAGCCCUUUUGUUGGGAAAGAAAUCCAGCUGGCUAAUACCCGGUUGGGAUGACGGUACCCAAAGAAUAAGCACCGGCUAACUUCGUGCCAGCAGCCGCAGUAA
rnacentral:rRNA from 1 species